rnacentral:lncRNA from 1 species
AUGUUGAAUUACCCAGUUACACUCUGCUCUGMAUCAUGCCAUGGUGGUGUCAUCGAGUUGAGGCAUUAUCAGGAAUCUCAAUCAGGGUCCAUCAUCACGAAGAUGGUUGCUAAACUUGACGGAGAUCAUUUAACCACAGGGGAAGGAUUUUUUAAGAAGAGGUUUGAAAACAGGGAUGGAAAAUUCUCUCUAACCAUCUCCUCAGCUGAGUACAAUGACAUGGGGUUGUACGAGUGUGUCUGUGGCAAGUACAAACAGCAUGUAAAUCUACAAGUAUUGGUCCC